rnacentral:ncRNA from 20 species
CUCUUAUCAAGAGAGGUGGAGGGAUGUGCCCUGCGAAACCCGGCAACCGUCUUUAUAUAGAAAUGGUGCCAAUUCACAAAAAGUUGAACUGCUUUUGAAGAUGAGAG